ACGGGAGGCAGCAGUGGGGGAUAUUGCACAAUGGGGGAAACCCUGAUGCAGCGACGCCGCGUGAGUGAAGAAGUAUUUCGGUAUGUAAAGCUCUUUAAGCAGGGAAGAUAAUGACGGUACCUGCAGAAUAAGCCCCGGCUAACUACGUGCCAGCAGCCGCGGUAAUACGUAGGGGGCAAGCGUUAUCCGGAUUUACUGGGUGUAAAGGGAGCGUAGACGGAACAGCAAGUCUGAGGUGAAAUCAUGGGGCCCAACCCCGUAACUGCCUUGGAAACUGUUGAUCUCGAGUACCGGAGGGGCAGGCGGAAUUCCUGGUGUAGCGGUGAAAUGCGUAGAUAUCAGGAAGAACACCGGUGGCGAAGGCGGCCUGCUGGACGGUAACUGACGUUGAGGCUCGAAAGCGUGGGGAGCAAACAGGAUUAGAUACCCUGGUA
rnacentral:rRNA from 1 species